CAGGCGUUAGCCGAAAAGCCUUAACAGAGUAGGUA
rfam:Cnuella takakiae strain DSM 26897 genome assembly, contig: Ga0131159_106